rnacentral:lncRNA from 1 species
GCAUGGUGGGAAGAGAGUAGAGGAGAAUGAUUGUUCCUAGUGCACAAAGGUACAUGGGUAGCUUGCUGGUCAGGGAAUAAUUUUUCUAAACAUGAUCUUUUCUCAACAGAUCCAGUUUCACUGUUUCCACCUGGGCUGAUAAGGACGUGCCUCUCAGGAUCUUUGUGGAGAUGCUGUGACUUAUUCCGAUGAAGAGAGAACAGGUCUCACUGGUAACAAAACAAUCAUGCUUUCAGCCCCAGUGAGCAUCACCUCUGAUCUAGGCUGAAUUGUAUAUAUAAAAUUCGUAUGUUGAAGCCCUAACCACCAAUGUGACUGUAUUUAGAGAUAAGGCUUUUAGAAGGUCAUUAAGUUUAAAUAAAGUCAAAG